AGUCAGAGCACCAUCAAUCAUCCUCUUAAAAAAGAUGACCCAUAGGUCCCAGGAAUUUUCAUAAUAGGAUAGGGCCAAGAUAACAAAACUGGAGUAAAGACUUAGAAACCUUGUGCCCAUGUUCAAUCAAAGACAUCAGCAGGGCUAAGUAGCCCUUGUCCACUGAAUGCAGAAGAAUAUCAUAUGCAUACUGAAGAAACCAGGAAUCCCAGAGGGGAGAGAAAGUGGUCAGAUUAAAAGGCAAAAUUUGAUCAAACAAAGUAGGCCUAUCAACCAAGCCCUAAGGGAGAUGACUCCAGCUGAAUUGAGAGCUCUUCAAAGUAAAAGCAAAAAGGUAUUGAGAAGUAGAAUGAAAGUGAAAUAAGCAGCAUUCCAAUCAACCACAGAAAAGUAAGAAGCAAAAAUGGGAUACAAGUGAAAAUCGCAGCUGGGUUUGAGACAGCCAGGAUGCAACAGAACAAUAUAUUUAUUGAUAAGACACAAAUUCUGAACAAACAAUAAAUAGGACAGAUGUUUUCCUA